GUUUGGUACACACUCGACCCUCGUGUGUUAUUUGCAAAGUUAUUCUUGCGAAACGCAUAAUGUCUCCACUCCCCGCAACUAACACACGUGUAUUUUUUUGUUUGUUAUCCAUACAAUAAAUAACUAAUUGCAUCAAAUCAUUUAAUAAUUAGGCCUACCCAUUGGCCUUUGAUAAUGUACUUUUCGCAUUAUGAACAUAAAUCGUAGUCCUAGAUCUAGCAGUCUGUUGUUUUUUUAAUGUGUAAAAGGAUGUUUAAAAAUCUAUAAUAAAUGUUGUGUAAUUUUUAAUGUAUCUAAAAUCUAAAAACAUCUCAGCACAGAAGACGAGGCUAUAAAGUAAAGUUGGAAUAAGAACAUAAAACACUGAGCUUACUAAUAAAAAAAAAACAAUAUAAUUAAAUAAAAAUACCAAGCAAGACACAAAGAUAAAGGCACAAUUAUUUCAUAUGCGAGGAAAAAUUCUGCUAGUGCUCCUUAUUCCCUAGCGCCAUUUAAGCAUGAAACGGGUUGCCUGAAUCAGCCAUGAAAACAAACGAUUUAGAGAGUCUCUAAUUAACAUGCAUGACUAGACAAACACAUAGAUACGUGAAGGACGUAAUUAUCUUCUUUUUUUUUUUUUUCCUGAACGAGCGUCUGUGAUUUAUAAGAUAAGAUAAAGGCAAACUUCGCCAGAUAUAUAAAAGUAUGCUCCUGAGCUAACCCAGGAAAACCAGUGACUUGGCGGAGUUUAGGUCGUUGGUUAAUAUGCAUGACUAAAUGCAUGACGCGUAAUCAUCAUCUUUUUUUUUUUAAGUAACUUCUGUAUCAUAUAAGAUAAGAUAAGAUACGCAUUUUAAUGUCUCGAUUUUACUGUAAGCUUGGAAAAAAAUAUUUUAUAUUAGACUUACAAAGAAGAUAUAAAAAGAGAGUGCCCUACAUAUUAUUUGAAGCUCUGACUGUUCCAUGGGGAUGAUUACGUAGGUAAGUUCAAAUGCCCAUGUGUGUCUACCCCAUGCAAACUUUAUUAGGGCUGACCAGCACGCUUCACCGCGCUAGCCAGUAUGUACGUAAUAGAGGUCAUGCGCUAGCACACUGGUCACGUUCACCUUCGCCUGCCCAGAAGUCUGUUGAGAGUUAGGGUAUCACAAGUGAUCUGAUAACAAAUUUAUCCCAUUCAGCUUUGUUUCCUGCAUUCCUAUUAAAACAAUGUCAAGUUCCACAAUCUUCGGACCCAAAGAGAAUGCAUUACGUAUGUGUAUGAAACAUGUUUAGCACUUCCUGCGCAGUGGCGUAGCUAGGGUGGGCGGAGGAGAGGGAGAAUUUGAAAAUUCCCCCUGGGCCUCCAAUUGAGGGCCCUCCUAAAUUAGUGGUUUUUUUUUACAUUAAAUAUUACACAAAAUGCAGAGGCCCCAAAAAGGUCAUGCCCACCCCCGGGCUCCAAAAUGAUGGGAUAUUCCUAGCUACGUUCCUGCGCGUAGCAUGCACGUGAAAGCUCUCUAAGUUUAGAUUACAAAAUCUUCGAUCUAAUGCCUCUGACAUGCAUGUGUACAAGAUACAGUAAUAUACGCCAGGGAGGGGUGGUUGGGAGGCAGAGACCAAGAAAUAAAAGAAAAAAAAUGUAAAGAACAAAUAGACAAAAAAGUUUUUAAAAAGGGAAAAUAGAAAGUCAUUCUUAAUAAAGAUCUAGGUUCUAGGUUCUCAGUCAGCAAUUAGCAAACAUCUACCAUUAGCGUCAUGGCGGAAAACAAAAACUUUAUUAUCUUGAACGGGGGCACUUUUGCGCACCAUACCAACAGUAAUAGGGGGUAAAAUAAAUAAAUAAAAGAAAAGAAAAAGAAUUAAAAGGAAAUUGUGAAAAAAAAAAAGACAAAAAGAAAAUAAAGAAAUUGUUAAAAAUGUGAAACUUCUAAACUUAUAUAAACUCCUUUUCUCUUUUUAAAUACUUUUAAUGUAGCAAGAUCAAACCUAAAUAGUGGACUGCUGGCUGGAGAAUUUAAUUGAAUCAAGUUUCAUGUUUCCAACAAUUUAAUUUCCUUGAAUAAUGUAUGGGAGGUGUGUUACACGAAUUGUCAAGAGCUAGCUGCGCCUUGAUUUCUGCAUUUAAGUUUGUUUUAAAAUUAGCACGCUACAAAUUAUAGCACACAUUCCGACACACUGUUUUUCAUUUCCACAGGUCAAUGUGUAACCCAUUGUGUCGUUACUGCGAAUCAGUUGUUUGGUAUCUGGAUUACUGAGGAAGUCUCCAGCACAGGGUAUUCACAAGAGAACAGAACACUGAGAACAAGAUUCUGAGCUACAAUGCUGGAGAACAAAGUAAAGCCGCAAACAAGAUAUAGUAACUCCAACUUGACAGACAUCUUGCAGCUAUAUUGCAGAUGUACGAAAACAAGUCAGUGAUGGAGUUUCUGCGUGACAUUUCCUACAAUUUAACUUUGUGAAACUUCAGGAGACAACCUCGAGGAUAAAUCAGGAGUGAAGCCCCUUAGGCGUUGGGAGUAUCAGCUACGAAAUUCCCUCCGGCAACGUCUGCAACUGAGUUGGUGCCUUUGGCAAGGUCAAGAGAGGGAUCAUGACGCAUGGGCCACCCAUGACCCCUUUAUCUAAGGCCAAGGAAUGCGCCCCGGAGAGGAAACUCUGGUGCUGCUGCAAAGCGGCUAAAACAACACUGGAGACAACAGUUAUGAAUAUAAAUGCUCGAACUGUGGCAAACUGCCGAUCCAGAAUUGGCUUGAUCAGCCACUCCAGAUUCUGCCCCGUCUCAAGACGUAACCAAAGCCAGUGACUCAUCUGAGCGCAUCCAUUGUCUUACGAGACAGA